rnacentral:rRNA from 1 species
GACGAACGCUGGCGGCGUGCUUAACACAUGCAAGUCGAACGAUGAAACCUAGCUUGCUAGGUCGAUUAGUGGCGAACGGGUGAGUAACACGUGACUAACCUGCCCCUUUCUCUGGGAUAACGCUCCGAAAGGAGUGCUAAUACCGGAUACUCACAUCGAGGCACAUGCCUUGGUUUGGAAAGUUUUUCGGAAAGGGAUGGAGUCGCGGCCUAUCAGCUUGUUGGUGAGGUAACGGCUCACCAAGGCGACGACGGGUAGCCGGCCUGAGAGGGCGACCGGCCACACUGGGACUGAGACACGGCCCAGACUCCUACGGGAGGCAGCAGUGGGGAAUAUUGCACAAUGGGCGCAAGCCUGAUGCAGCGACGCCGCGUGAGGGAUGAAGGUCUUCGGAUUGUAAACCUCUUUCAGUAGGGACGAAGCGAAAGUGACGGUACCUAAAGAAGAAGCACCGGCUAACUACGUGCCAGCCGCCGCGGUAA